UACUUUCGCACGACGGCGACGUGGUGGCACAACUCAAGUGAUCAAUAAAAGGGCCAUCCCGUCCCGUCCAUCGUCUGCAAUCCCAUUGCAGACAAAUGAACGUCUGCCAUUCAGGGAAAAUUUUCUCGUCGGCCAUUAAAUUAUCGACAGCUUGCUCAACGAUUGACAUUGUUUUUUUGGCACUGACGAGUUUUUUGACGCGUAAAAAAUGCAGAUUUUUCGAAGCAGCGAAAAAUUCACACCACCGCUGGGGACCGGCAAAAGUUCACCCAUAUGCUGGACGUAAACAAAUCGCUGUCAGAUUCGGCUCCGAUACCCAUUCAAGUGACUGCGGCGAAUUGGAUGAACCCAGUUCAGUGGCGGAUAUGCAGUGGAAAAUUGAAUGCGUGACGUUGAUUUAGAGGAAGUUUAAGUGGCGCGAAAAGGUGUUCAGUUUAACGGUCGUGACGGUUACGUUUCGGAAAAAUUGAUUUUGGGGGAACCUCACGGUGAGUUUUUAGCAUCGAAUCGAUUUACCUCGAGAUAAUAAAAUGACGGGAAAACACGAAAACAACACUGAUCAUCGGAAAGUUAAGAUUAUCACUUGGCAGCAGUAUAUGAAAGAUUCUGGAUCCAGCAGUAGAUAAACAGCAAAUAAUAUAAUAAACGAGGGCAGAUCAAAAUCUUAGAAGUUUCAAAACAACAAGGAAGUGUCUGAACGAUUAUCACGAUGCAAGGUCGAAACUUGUGAUAAGUAUGUAGUUCUAUGGAUUAUUCGGCUGAGUUCUGGUUCCCUACGAUGUC